rnacentral:rRNA from 1 species
AGGCUUAAUACAUGCAAGUCGAGCGGUAAGGUUUCGGACCCUAGAGCGGCGAACGGGUGAGUAACGCGUACGAAACCUGCCUUUAAGAGAGGGAUAGCCCUGGGAAACUGGGAGUAAUACCUCAUAGUAUUCAUUAACCGCAUGGUUUAUGGAUUAAAGCUACGGCGCUUAAAGAUGGUCGUGCGUCUGAUUAGCUAGUUGGCGGGGUAACGGCCCACCAAGUCUACGAUCAGUAGCUGAUGUGAGAGCAUGAUCAGCCACACGGGCACUGAGACACGGGCCCGACUCCUACGGGAGGCAGCAGUGGGGAAUUUUGGACAAUGGACGCAAGUCUGAUCCAGCCAUUCCGCGUGCAGGAUGAAGGCCCUCGGGUUGUAAACUGCUUUUGUACGGAACGAAAAGGUUUCUCUUAAUACGAGGAGCUCAUGACGGUACCGUAAGAAUAAGCACCGGCUAACUACGUG